rnacentral:rRNA from 1 species
GACGAACGCUGGCGGCGUGCUUAACACAUGCAAGUCGAACGGUAAGGCCCUUCGGGGUACACGAGUGGCGAACGGGUGAGUAACACGUGGGUGAUCUGCCCUGCACUUCGGGAUAAGCCUGGGAAACUGGGUCUAAUACCGGAUAGGACCACUGCCUGCAUGGGUGGUGGUGGAAAGCUUUUGCGGUGUGGGACGGGCCCGCGGCCUAUCAGCUUGUUGGUGGGGUGAUGGCCUACCUAGGCGACGACGGGUAGCCGGCCUGAGAGGGUGACCGGCCACACUGGGACUGAGAUACGGCCCAGACUCCUACGGGAGGCAGCAGUGGGGAAUAUUGCACAAUGGGCGCAAGCCUGAUGCAGCGACGCCGCGUGAGGGAUGACGGCCUUCGGGUUGUAAACCUCUUUCAGCACCGACGAAGCGCAAGUGACGGUAGGUGCAGAAGAAGGACCGGCCAACUACGUGCCAGCCGCCGCGGUAACAC